rnacentral:rRNA from 1 species
ACCUGCGGAGGGAUCAUUACCGAGUUUACAACUCCCAAACCCCUGUGAACAUACCACUUGUUGCCUCGGCGGAUCAGCCCGCUCCCGGUAAAACGGGACGGCCCGCCAGAGGACCCCUAAACUCUGUUUCUAUAUGUAACUUCUGAGUAAAACCAUAAAUAAAUCAAAACUUUCAACAACGGAUCUCUUGGUUCUGGCAUCGAUGAAGAACGCAGCAAAAUGCGAUAAGUAAUGUGAAUUGCAGAAUUCAGUGAAUCAUCGAAUCUUUGAACGCACAUUGCGCCCGCCAGUAUUCUGGCGGGCAUGCCUGUUCGAGCGUCAUUUCAACCCUCAAGCACAGCUUGGUGUUGGGACUCGCGUUAAUUCGCGUUCCCCAAAUUGAUUGGCGGUCACGUCGAGCUUCCAUAGCGUAGUAGUAAAACCCUCGUUACUGGUAAUCGUCGCGGCCACGCCGUUAAACCCCAACUUCUGAAUGUUGACCUCGGAUCAGGUAGGAAUACCCGCUGAACUUAAGCAUAUCAAAGGUGGGAGGAAACGUGUUGG